GACGUAGGGCGCGAGCGUUGUCCGGAUUUAUUGGGCGUAAAGAGCUCGUAGGCGGCUUGUCGCGUCGACUGUGAAAGCCCCCCGGCUCAACUGGGGAGGGUCACGCGAUACUGAUCGACUCGAAGGCAGGAGAGGGAAGUGGAAUUCCCGGUGUAGUGGUGAAAUGCGUAGAUAUCGGGAGGAACACCAGUGGCGAAGGCGACUUCCUGGCCUGUUCUUGACGCUGAGGCGCGAAAGCUAGGGGAGCAAACGGG
rnacentral:rRNA from 1 species